GCAACGGGGUGGUCCUCGGGUCCGGGCCCCAGCAGGUGCAGGCGGCCGAGGUCGCCGGGUCCGCGGGAGGCCUCGGCAUGGAGGUCGUGGGUCUCAAUCUGGCCAUCGACCCGGAGGGCGGCAGCGCCCACGCCGAGGAGGCCGAGGACGACUCGGACUUCGGGCCGGCGGACGAGGACGGGGAGGAGGCGCCGGCGGACGGCCUGGACAUCCUGGUGGACGCCCAUCAGUUCCCCAUGGUCAGUUUCCGUUUCAUGUUCCUGGACUUGGUGCACUCGCUGCUGCACCGCAUCAACUGCAACAACCAUAUCCUCGUGCGGCCCCGCGGCGGCGGCAUGGUGGUGCCACCCCAGCCUCAGCUACGCGACGGCCUGGGCCAGCACCCCGUGCCCCUGGCUGAGCUGCCAACACCUGCAGCGGCCGCCGUGGUCCACGAGUCCGAGGCCUCGUCCGAGGAGGAGACCGACUGGGAGACGGCGGAGGAGCCGGAUGAGGAGCCGCAGAUGGGGCCGGCGGCCGCCGAUGGGACAACUCAAUACCAGUAUGAAAACUCUGACAAAGAGGCCCAAGGCUCUGAUAGGGGGGAAGAAAAAGAGAAAUUUAACAAUAAACAAGAUGGACCUAACUAGAAGGGAUCCGGCCCAACAGAGAACAGGGCCAGCAAAUCCAGAAGCCCAUGGGAAUUUUAUUAACACCAAUUCAGCGUUCCAAACUGCAUGAAAAGUGCUCUCUGAUGAAAUCUGACUCCUCUCUUACUUGUGACUGGUAUAUUUGACAGCAUUUGUUCUGGUUAAAAAUAAAUUUGUUUUAAAUUAAUAAGAUGGAACA
rnacentral:lncRNA from 1 species